AGCAAUAAGUUUGUUUUGGAAAAAGGAAACCUAGAACGAAGAAGAACGAGAUUUGUGAGCAAAAAACAUAUGUGGAGAUUUUUUUAGAAAAACAAAGAAAACAAAAGGCAAAGAAGAGGAGAGCGGACAAAUUUACAAAUUUUUUCUUCUUCUUUCAUUAGGAAUUUCGUUUCAACAAUGGAGUUCGUUUAAAGCUCGCGAAGAGUUCGUUGAAGUUAUCGGCUGAGGUUCAAGUUCGUCUUUCUGGUCGGUGUACGUUCAUUUCGGUAUGUUUCUUUGGAUAAAAAUGCGUUUCAUUAUUGAAUGUGUAAAUUUCAAGAUAAUAUUUAUAAAAAUUUUAAUUCGAUUUUUUAGUAGUGAUUUUGAGUAGGUCUGCUAUGAUCAUAUCCCUUCUUUGAUUUCUCAUGUUACAAUGUUCAUAAGGAAAGCUCAAGCUAUAGUUAGCCUUGAUUUUAUAUUUUUUUUUGCAAAACACUAAUUGCCAAGGAGUUAUAUAAAAAGGCACAAACCUGCAUUAUGUCCCAUGGUUUAGUUUUCAGAUUGUAGACUAAAUACAUUAAUAAAAAAAUUUAAAGCUAUCAGAUAGUAACAAGGCUUAUCAGUUAGUAAAGUCACUUCCACAAAGAAAAUAAAACGUACUGUAAAAUUUUAAAAUAAGAAUAUUUAAAAACAUACAUAUACAACCUAAUCGCGUAAAACUUUAAAAUUCUCGUAUGAUGAGUAUUAUGUGUUCCUAGUUUGUUCUGAUGGAAUUUUUCAUCCAUGUUAAUUUGGUCACUAAUAAUAUUAUCUAAAUUGAGAGUAAUGACUCACAUUCUGAUUUGUCCGAAGAAGUUUCUCACUGUUAAUUUUCAUUAGGCAUAUUUUGUAUUGAACUCCAUGUGUUCAGGGGUUAAAAGAAGGGAGUAGCUGUAAGUUCGUUUAUGGGUGUGUAUUAAUAGAUAAAUUAUCACGAUUGUGUAUAUGUUCUCCUGGCAUAAUUAUGAUUUUUAAUCUUAAAAUCAAAGUAUGUGUUCGUACAACUUUGACAGAAACAAUCUUAACAAAAUAUACAAACAUAUAUCUCGAGUAUAAAAGAGGCAAAAUAAUUAAAUAUUUUAAAUACGCUAUUAGCCCAUGUGUUCAUACCCGAACCUUAGAUUGAUACGCUUAAAUAAUAAAAGGAUCAUGUGCACAUUCCGCGUCUUGAUACCGUUUUAAUUUAAAAUAAUUAUGUUAGAACCAUGUGUACAUUCCGUACAUUGGUUUAAUAUUUAAUUUCAAGGAAGUACCUUGUGUGCAUAUCUCAUAUUGGUAAAAGUAACUAAUAAAAAAAUAUAAUAAAUUAAGUGAAGCGGCAAUAAACAAGCCACAAUCAAUACAAUACAAGAAUAGCUAAAAAUUGAUUUAAGCCUUACAUUAAUCAAUAGAAGCGACCGUGCUAGAACCACGGGACUUGAGGGGUGCCUUACACCUUCCCCUCGGUCGACAGAAUUCCUUGCUCAGUCUUCUGUUUUCGUGGACCAUAAAUUAAGAGUCAAACCUUCCUUUUGAAAAGGGAUUCAAUAAAAGGUGACUUGGAACACCAAAGCUCAAUUCCAAAUGACGACUCUAAAUAAUAAAUAAUCCCUUUUCAAAACGUCACUUUAAUUGGAAAAACUCUUCUAACUCAACCUCGUAAUUGGGUUGUGUGACAAAAAAGAGGUGUGACAAUACUCAUUUCAAACUCACACCCCAUUAAUUUAGCAAAAUCCUUCUCAAAUUAUCAGUAGUAGCCCCAAAUAUUAUGUCAUCAACAUAUAUUUGUACAACAAUGAGGUCUUCGUGUAUGAAAAAAGAGGCAUGACAGCGACAACAUGAUGACUCUGCUGGGGAAACUUUUAAGCUCUUACCAUAACGAACUUAUCUUUUAGUAGUCCAAACAUGCUUUAUCCUGUAUCCUUUUCCCUGAUUUGAAUUUAACUGUCCAUUUUCUUUUAAGUAUUCAUGAUUCUUUAUCCCUGAAAUUGAUUUGUCUCUUUAUUUUCUUUUCCUGUAACUGCCUUUCAAUUAUUUAAAUAUUGUAUUUAUUUUCCUGCAUGCAAAUACUUGACUACAUGUUAUUAAUUGCUGCAUAAAUUAUGUUCCACACCAUAUUCCACUCAUGCAUUACAAGUCCUAUAGCAACACUUAAAUGAGUGGUUGCGCUUUUCCUGUUUACUACCCUUAAAUUCGGAAAGACAUAUUUGCGAUAAAAUCAGGCAAUCAUUGAUGCAGUCGAUGGUUCUGUGCCUCCCCCUCCCCCCUCCCAAGUUUUCCGCUUCAGGGUACCAGUCUAAAAUCUCAUAGUCGCUUUACUAUAGUCAAAAUUGUGUAUGCAUCAUGGUCAAAAAUAGUCGAAUUAAUAUGCUAUCCACAUAACGAUCCUUUAGGAUAAGCAGUAUCCAAAAGUCCAUCGGAUUUUCCAUAAUCCCAACGAACACAAUCACGUUCUAUGAAUUAAUUUUGAGAACUAAAUGCCGAUAUGCUAAUCGUAAAUGUAUAAAUAGUCGAGUCUGGUGGAGGUAAGGCCUAACCCUUUUAUUUUUGCAGAAAAUGAGGUACGAGGUCCCCAGAUUCGGUAUAGUUAGCAACAUCCCACCAUUGCUGCUAGAUUGGUGGAGGAACUUUCAUCAAGUGAUAAGAAGCAUGUGAGAAAGUGCCUGUGUAAGUUGCCUUCCUUGGUAUAUAUUGAUCCAAACAACAAGUUGAUCGAUGCUGCCACUUUAUUCUAGGAUAGUGAACGGGCUGUGUUGCCUUUCGGCGACAUAGAAAUGACAUUGCUUCUAGAAGAAAUUGGAGGUCUUGCGAGAUUGACUUGGGAUGGUCCCGGGUUAUUGGUACCAGAUCAUACUGGCAGGGGAUUUUUAAAGAUGAUG
rnacentral:lncRNA from 1 species